UGGCAGGUGUCCCUGCUCUGGCAGGGGGCUUGACACAAGAUGAUCUUUAAGGUCUCUUCCAAGCCAGGCCAUGAAAUCCUAUGAGUCUAUGAAGCAGAUUAUUCAAUCCAUAAAAAGUUCUGAUCAGCAGAAGCAUCUCUGGGUCUGCCCUCCCAAGGGAAUCUUCAUUAUGAUGGCCAGGCUAAAGGAUGCUGAUGAUUUGACCUGUACUGAUGGUUUGGAAGGUGUGUGCAGUGUAUCAGCUGCUACUCCUGAACUUUUUUUGGCCAUAUGUGGGACCAGUAUGGGUCCAUAAUAUGGGUCCAUCGUGACAACAGCUGGUUACAAUUCCCUUGGAACAGAUGACUCUGGAAAAGCACUGUGAGAGCAGAAUCCAGUAGAAGGAAAUUGUGAGGCUGAAUCCAGCUCUUAUGCACUGGAUAUUCUGGCACUGAUGAGGAGGGGCAUGUCCUCUUCCACGUGGGACAGAAACAGCAUCAGUGACUGGCUGUGUAUUUCUGAAGAGCACACAAGUCCCUGAAUCCAGUAGAAUUGAGAUGAUAAUCUGCACCUGAUAAGAUGCACCCUGGGACACCUGUUCAGUAUUGACUUGCUCAGGCAUAAUUGUUGGCUGGGACACAUGGUAAACCAGGACAUCAGAUACCUACUGGGAGGAGGUGGAAGAUCAGAAAUAGGAUCUGGGAGCCAGUAUCUUGCCAUCCUACAUAUCCAGGCAGGCAGGAUUGUAAAGCUGACUAUGAACAGGAAACUUUUCUCUCCCUUGAAAUCAAUUAUCCAUUAGCAAAUUAACCAGAACAACAGGACAAGACAGAUCUGAGUACUUCAGAAUAAACACAGCAAGGCAAGACAUGCUGACCCUCACAACUUCUAAGAGAUGCUCAGGGAGAACAAUCUCCCAGAAGCUAUCCUCCAUCAAAAUCAUCUGACUCAAUAUGAGACACUGAAAUAUAAUUAUUACAUGAUACAUGAUGGUCAUCCUUCAGUUGUUUCACUUUCCUAAUGUCUGCACCCUUGGAUAAAGGCAGACAUGGAUUACUUAACUGAUGAUGCACACAGUGUGUAUUUUUGUCCCAGAGCCACCCAUAAACAAAAACACUGUUAUAUACUUAUUGUGUAUAAUGCAAGAAAAAUAAAAAAGCAAAACCCAAAACACAGUUAUAUACUUAUUAUGUAUAAUGCAAGAAAAAAUAAAAAAGCAAACCCAAAA